rnacentral:tRNA from 1 species
GCAUGUAUGAUUGGAAUGGCAGACAUGACCGUUUCAAAAGCGGUUGCCGCAAGGCGUGAGGGUUCAAGUCCCUCUACAUGCACCA